rnacentral:lncRNA from 1 species
UCACGCUCUUAAAAAAUAUAAAAUGUGAGCAGAUCUGACACACAUGUGAACAUGAGAAAAAUUUGAAGAAUUGAAAUAUGAAGCACCACUUAUUUGAAGAAAAAAACAAAAACAUUUCCACAAUCUAGCCUACUGAUAAGGGGCUAUUUCUCAGGUGAAAGCUGUUUUGCCAACUAUGGGAUUUUUGCACAAUGAAGGACUACUUGAAUGUACAAAUAGGGAGAUCUGAACAAUUGUUUCUUAGGAAUAUUCUUUGGCUGAGAUUUGCACCAGUGCUACAACUCCAAGGAAGCACAUAUAAUUUUAGAAAUAUGAACCAAGAGAAGAAAUAUGACUUCUGCAAAGAAACACACUUAUCACCAGUGAUCCUGCAGCAGCUGCUGGCAUUUCAUAGUACUAACUUUGUGCUUAGGUUCAUGUUCAUCUUGCCUAUCAUUAUAGUUACAGAUGAGGAGACCUGCCCUAUGGACUCUAUUAGUCUGAUGUGAGAGAGAAAAGGAUCUGAAUUACCAGGUGAAACUGAGUACCAAUAGGAAUAAAGUGAUUAGUCACCUUGUUUAGAUGCCUGAA